rnacentral:tRNA from 1 species
GAGGGUAUAGCUCAGUGGUAGAGUGCAAGCCUAGCAUACACAAGGUCCUGGGUUCAAUCCUCAGUAUCUCCA